rnacentral:rRNA from 1 species
UGAGUACGAGCGGCUACGGCCGCGAAGUGGAUGAUGUCAAGCUUCCAAGAAAAGCCCUAUACCCGUUAAGGCAUGAUGGCCUGUACCCGAAACCGACACAGGUGGGGUGGUAGAGAAUACCGAGGGGCGCGAGGUAACUCUCUCUAAGGAACUCGGCAAAAUGGCCCCGUAACUUCGGGAGAAGGGGUGCCACCGCGAGGUGGUCGCAGUGAAGAGGCCCAGGCGACUGUUUACCAAAAACACAGGUCUCCGCUAAGUCGCAAGACGAUGUAUGGGGGCUGACGCCUGCCCAGUGCCGGAAGGUUAAGGAAGCUGGUCAGCGCAAGCGAAGCUGGCGACUGAAGCCCCGGUGAACGGCGGCCGUAACUAUAACGGUCCUAAGGUAGCGAAAUUCCUUGUCGGGUAAGUUCCGACCCGCACGAAAGGCGUAACGAUCUGGGCGCUGCCUCGGAGAGAGGCUCGGCGAAAUAGAAUUGUCUGUGAAGAUGCGGACUACGUGCACCCGGACAGAAAGACCCUAUGAAGCUUUACUGUAGCUUGGUAUUGUGCUCGGGCUCGGAAUGCGCAGGAUAGGUGGGAGGCUUUGAUCCAUUGCUUGCGGGUGAUGGUGAGCCACUGGUGAGAUACCACUCUUUCCGAGCUAGAGUUCUAACAGCAACCCGUUAUCCGGGUGCUGGACAGUAUCAGGUGGGCAGUUUGACUGGGGCGGUCGCCUCCUAAAAGGUAACGGAGGCGCGCAAAGGUCUGCUCAGGCUGGUUGGAAAUCAGCCGACGAGUGUAAAAGCAGUAGCAGGCUUGACUGUGAGACCUACAAGUCGAACAGGGAGGAAACUCGGCUUUAGUGAUCCGACGGUUCUGCGUGGAAGGGCCGUCGCUCAACGGAUAAAAGUUACUCUAGGAUAACAGGCUGAUCUCCCCCAAGAGUUCACAUCGACGGGGUGGUUUGGCACCUCGAUGUCGGCUCAUCGCAACCUGGGGCUGAAGUCGGUCCCAAGGGUUGGGCUGUUCGCCCAUUAAAGCGGUACGCGAGCUGGGUUCAGAACGUCGUGAGACAGUUCGGUCCAUAUCCGGUGCACGCGCAGGAAUAUUGAGAGGAUUUCUCCCUAGUACGAGAGGACCGGGAGGAACGCACCUCUGGUGUGCCAGUUAUCGUGCCAACGGUAAACGCUGGGUAGCCAUGUGCGGAGUGGAUAACCGCUGAAAGCAUCUAAGUGGGAAGCCCACCUCAAGAUGAGUAUUCCCAUGGCAUAAGCCAGUAAGGUCACGGGAAGAACACCCGUUGAUAGGCUCUACGUGGAAGCGCAGUAAUGUGUGAAGCGGAGGAGUACUAAUAGACCGAGGGC